AGAAAGAAGGCCCUUAAAAACAAAAUCAUUAAGCCUCAAAGGAACAGGGAAAUGACUUCUAUUUUUCUUCUUCUAAGUAUUGGGCCAUGUUUCUUCUUCUGUUUUCCUAUUCUUCUUGUU
rnacentral:ribozyme from 11 species